CAUGGGGGAGUGUGAUGGGGGUGGCACACGUGUGUGCACAGUUGUUCACUCUCCAGACACAGGAGGUUGAUUGGGCUUGCAGUUAUCAUCUGCUUGUGUUCUUUGAAUGGAAAGAUUCCAGUGUGGGGAAUGACGUCAAACGCAGCUCAUGAAUGCAGAAUGAUGUCUUCCUGUGCUGACCCAUAUGCCCAUUGCAUAUUUUUUUUUACUUGAAAAGAUGCUGCUGUUUAAUCUCACCUCAGUAUAUCGAGCUGCUCUGAGGAAAGCUUUCUCACUCAGUGACCAAGAUUCAAUCAUCUGUCCUUUAGUUCUUUGGCUACAAACAUUCUCCAUCUCUACAUCAUUCUGCUGAACAUUUGUCCAAACAAAGAAGACUAAUGGCCUUGGGAAGAGCUGAAGAGAGAGAAGGAUGGCUGAUAUUGAACUGGGUUUUUGACCUAUCAAAGGGCAAUUUUAUAUGUUUUAACUGAAGAUAAAAGUGAAAUGUAAACAAAACCUAGAAAAACAAGGUUGACAUUUAAAGAUAGAUUUAAAAACUCAAAGAGAUGAAAGUUAAGAGGGAAGUAGAAAUAGCAUUCACAGACAAGAAGAACCACAAAAUAAGAUUCCAGGCUUCUCUAUGCUUGUAAGCUGGCAGUGGCUACUAGAGCAGCCAUGAGCCACCUGUGGCUAUUUCAAGUUAAAUGAACUAACAUGAAAUAAAGCUGAAAA